rnacentral:lncRNA from 8 species
AUGACUGCCUUGCCUGGUUCACUAACUACUUUUCAGAUAGAGUUCAGUGUGUCAAAUCGGAGGGGCUGUUGUCCGGACCUCUGGCAGUCUCUAUGGUGGUACCACAGUGUUCAAUUCUCGGACCCGACUCUUUUCUCUGUAUAUAUCAAUGAUGUCGCUCUUGCGGCGGGUGAUUCCUUGAUCCACCUCUACGCAGACGACACCAUUCUGUAUACAUCUGGCCCUUCUUUGGACACUGUGUUAACAAACCUACAAACAAGCUUCAAUGCCAUACAACACUCCUUCCGUGGCAUCCAACUGCUCUUAAACGCUAGUAAAACUAAAUGCAUGCUUUUCAAACAAUCGCUGCCCACACCCGCCCUCCCGACUAGCAUCACUACUCUGGACGGUUCUGACUUAGAAUAUGUGGACAACUACAAAUACCUAGGUGUCUGGCUAGACUGUGAACUCUCCUUCCAGACUCAUAUAAAGCAUCUCCAAUCCAAAAUUAAAUCUAGAAUCGGCUUCCUAUAUCGCAACAAAACCUCCUUCACUCACGCUGCCAAACAUACCCUCGUAAAACUGACUAUCCUACCGAUCCUCGACUUCGGCGAUGUAAUUUACAAAAUAGCCUCCAACACUCUACUCAGCAAAUUGAAUGCAGUUUAUCACAGUGCCAUCCAUUUUGUCAGCAAAGCCCCAUAUACCACCCACCACUGCGACCUGUAUGCUCUCGUUGGCUGGCCCUCGCUACAUAUUCCUCGCCAGACCCACUGGCUCCAGGUCAUCUAUAAGUAUUUUCUAGGUAAAGCUCCGCCUUAUCUCAGCUCACUGUUCACCAUAACAACACCCACCCGUAGCACGCGCUCCAGCAGAUAUAUCUCACUGGUCAUCCCCAAAGCCAACACGUCCUUUGGCCGCCUUUCCUUCCAGUUCUCUGCUGCCAAUGACUGGAACGAAUUGCAAAAAUCGCUGAAGUUGGAGACUUAUAUCUCCCUCACUAACUUUAAGCAUCAGCUAUCUGAGCAGCUCACCGAUCGCUGCAGCUGUACACAGCCCAUCUGUAAAUAG